AUGUGCUGUAGAACUGUGCACCUGAAACCUGCAUAAUUUUGUUAAGCGGUGUCACCCCAAUAAAUUCAAUACAAAAUAAAAUAAUGAAUUAAAAAAAUAAAAUGCAUCCCAUAUCUUUGUUGUUAAAAAAAACUUGAAUAUUUUUAAAAUUUUGCUUUUUAUUUGCCAAUAAGUAUCUUUCUAGCCAACAUUCUCUUUUUAAUUUAAUUUUUAUUUGUUAGGAAGAGAUAGGUAUUGGAUGUAGGAUAAAGCAGUCCUGGCCUAUUUUACUGCUGACUCUCCUCAUUAGGGGGAAAAGAAAAAAGAAAAAGAAAAA